rnacentral:rRNA from 1 species
CCCUUAGAUGUUCUGGGCCGCACGCGUGCUACACUGACCGGUGCAACAAGUUUCUUUCCUUGGCUCGAUAGGCCUGGGUAAUCUUUGAACACCGGUCGUGAUGGGGAUAGAUCCUUGCAAUUUUUGAUCUUCAACGAGGAAUUCCUAGUAAAUGCGAGUCAUCAUCUCGCGUUGAUUACGUCCCUGCCCUUUGUACACACCGCCCGUCGCACCUACCGAUUGAAGAGUUAGGUGAAUUGUUUUGAUCGAUAAGAUUUGACUAUGGUCAACUCUCGUUGUGAAAUUCUGUGAAUCUGACUGUUUAGAGGAAGGAAAAGUCGUAACA